CUACGGGUUGCUGCAGUGGGGAAUCUUAGACAAUGGGCGCAAGCCUGAUCUAGCCAUGCCGCGUGAGUGACGAAGGCCUUAGGGUCGUAAAGCUCUUUCGCUAGGGAAGAUAAUGACUGUACCUAGUAAAGAAACCCCGGCUAACUCCGUGCCAGCAGCCGCGGUAAUACGGAGGGGGUUAGCGUUGUUCGGAAUUACUGGGCGUAAAGCGCGCGUAGGCGGAUCAGAAAGUUGGGGGUGAAAUCCCAGGGCUCAACCCUGGAACUGCCUCCAAAACUCCUGGUCUUGAGUUCGAGAGAGGUGAGUGGAAUUCCGAGUGUAGAGGUGAAAUUCGUAGAUAUUCGGAGGAACACCAGUGGCGAAGGCGGCUCACUGGCUCGAUACUGACGCUGAGGUGCGAAAGCGUGGGGAGCAAACAGGAUUAGAUACCCGAGUAGUC
rnacentral:rRNA from 1 species